UACGUAGGUGACAAGCGUUGUCCGGAUUUACUGGGCGUAAAGAGCGCGCAGGCGGUCGAUCAAGUCGAGUGUGAAAGCCCCCGGCUCAACUGGGGAGGGUCAUUCGAUACUGAUCGACUUGAAGGCGGGAGAGGGAAGCGGAAUUCCUGGUGUAGCGGUGAAAUGCGCAGAUAUCAGGAAGAACACCUAUGGCGAAGGCAGCACUCUGGGACGGUACUGACGCUGAGACGCGAAAGCGUGGGGAGCGAACAGG
rnacentral:rRNA from 1 species